AUGGGUGGGCUAGAUUGGGACGGACUGGGCUUUACAUGGACCGUUCGCCCUAGUCACCAAAGCAGAAGGCAGAACCCAGUGGACUGUAGAAGGCGAGGAAGGGAAUAUUUCCACGCGAAAUCCACCACGAUGAGCGGCGGCGGCCGGAAGCCGGUGGGCGACGAUGCGGAGGUGGAAGCGCUGCUCCGGGCGGCGCAAGACGCCGUGCUGCUCAAGCUCCAGGCCAACUCCCACCUCGUCUCGUCGUCGUCCUCCGCCGCCUCAAACCCUCUUGCUCUCGACGAGGGGCCCGGUCCACUGGACGACGACCUCGCCCGCCGCCUCGACGCGCUCAGGUCCCGCCCGGCGGCGCCGAAGCGGCCCGGUGCUGCCCCCGCCCCUGCAGCCGGCGGGAUGGACGAGAUGGAGGUACGGUUCGCGGCGCUGAAAGGCGCGGCGGUUUGCCCGGAGAAGGAGACGAGGGUGCGGCUGGAGGAUCUGGAAGGGGAAUCGGACGAGGAGGACGAGGUGGAGAAGGUGAUGCGCUGGGCGAUGGACGCCGCGCGGCUCGACGUCGCCACUGCCGGCAGUGGUGCUAGCAACGCCGACCACAAGGAAGAAGAAGACAAGAGCAGCAACGCCGAGGACAAGGAAGAAGAAGAAAAGAGCAGCGCCAGUAGCGAGGAGGAUGAGGAAGAGAGUCUGGAACUGAAGGAGGAGAAGAAGAGGAAGGAGAUAAUGAGCAAGAAGAACAAGGCCAAGAGCAGGUGGUUCUUCUUUUGA
rnacentral:rRNA from 1 species